AGGUAGGUUGUUCUACGUCUCAAUGGCAUUUUAGCGCACGGCUCUUUAAACAGAGCCAUUUUCCCUAGGCUGAGUAGAGGAGUAAGCUCGGCCUUUUUUU
rfam:Xenorhabdus cabanillasii JM26, WGS project CBXE01000000 data, contig: XENCA_2134_Contig_268